UACAGAGGUCCCGAGCGUUGUUCGGAUUCACUGGGCGUAAAGGGUGCGUAGGUGGUGAGGUAAGUCGGAUGUGAAAUCUCCGAGCUCAACUCGGAAAUGGCAUUGGAAACUACCUUGCUCGAGGGUUGGAGGGGGGGGACUGGAAUACUUGGUGUAGCAGUGAAAUGCGUAGAUAUCAAGUGGAACACCAGUGGCGAAGGCGAGUCCCUGGACAACUCCUGACACUGAGGCACGAAAGCGUGGGGAGCAAACGGG
rnacentral:rRNA from 1 species